UACGGGGGGGGCAAGCGUUGUUCGGAAUUACUGGGCGUAAAGGGCGCGUAGGCGGCCUUCUAAGUCGGACGUGAAAUCCCUCGGCUCAACCGAGGAACUGCGUCCGAUACUGGCAGGCUGGAAUCCGGGAGAGGGAUGUGGAAUUCCAGGUGUAGCGGUGAAAUGCGUAGAUAUCUGGAGGAACACCGGUGGCGAAGGCGGCACCCUGGACCAAUAUUGACGCUGAGGAGCGAAAGCCAGGGGAGCAAACGGG
rnacentral:rRNA from 1 species